GGGCUCAUAACUCAGCCUGGUCAGAGUGCUUGGCUCUUAACCAUGAAGUCGCGGGUUCAAAUCCCGUUGGGCCCA
rnacentral:tRNA from 1 species